GAGAUGGAACCAAGAAAGACGAGAGUCUUC
rnacentral:piRNA from 1 species